UACGGGGGGAGCAAGCGUUGUUCGGAUUUACUGGGCGUAAAGGGCGCGUAGGCGGUCCGGUAAGUCGGUUGUGAAAACUGGGGGCUCAACCCUCAGAGGCCGACCGAUACUGCCGGGCUAGAGUCCGGAAGAGGCGAGUGGAAUUCCUGGUGUAGCGGUGAAAUGCGCAGAUAUCAGGAGGAACACCAAUGGCGAAGGCAGCUCGCUGGGACGGUACUGACGCUGAGGCGCGAAAGCGUGGGGAGCAAACAGG
rnacentral:rRNA from 1 species